CCGCGGUAAUACGGAGGGGGCUAGCGUUGUUCGGAAUUACUGGGCGUAAAGCGCACGUAGGCGGCGAUCUAAGUCAGGGGUGAAAGCCCGGGGCUCAACCCCGGAACUGCCCUUGAGACUGGAUUGCUAGAAUCUGGGAGAGGUGAGUGGAAUUCCGAGUGUAGAGGUGAAAUUCGUAGAUAUUCGGAAGAACACCAGUGGCGAAGGCGGCUCACUGGACCAGUAUUGACGCUGAGGUGCGAAAGCGUGGGGAGCAAACAGG
rnacentral:rRNA from 1 species